CACCCCUGCUCGCCGUCGUGCACCUCCCGGGGCAGCUGUAUAGCUGCAGCCAGAAGCCAGACUUGACAACUAGGUAGCCCACCAUAGCCCUCACCACGCUAAUGAAUUGGAAGGCGGCUAGAAGACGCUGCUGGAUGUUAAGACGGCUAGCUGGCAAGAAAUGCAUCGUGCUGAUCCUUGUUAGCGCGUAUUUCACUACGGUACGCCGGAGCAGACACGGCACGGUCGAAGACGCAGGAUAUGGCCCAGAGGCCGCGAGUCCUGGUCCGCCUUGGGCCCUCCAGCUGAAGAGGGGCACCAGCCCAGACCAG